ACGAGACUACGACGUAGUAUUUUCCUUACAUACGACAAAUUUUCUAAACUGCUAGUACCAUGACAGUCCUGAAAUAUCAGAGGUCUUAUUCAAUCUAUAUAUAUAAAAAAAUUUUUUUUAUCAAUUUUCUAACACCAAAAUCUUAUUUUUUAUUUCUUAACAAAUAAAAUUAAUGAACCUGAUUAAAUACGUACAUCAGGAUUAGAAAGGUGCUAAUUAAGCACUCCGGAUUGCAAAAUAGUGAUACUUACCAACUCAGAUUUAUCCACCUGUGUUGUGUUGACAGACGAUAUAAAUAUCUAAUUCACAGUACAAACAACCAGAUCUGUCUAGCAUCAGUGGACAAGCUCUAUGGGACUAGUCAGUUGGGCUUCCGUCCACCGGAUCCCCCCAAUUUAAAAAAAAAAAUGUAUAUUUUAUUUCAGUUUUGAUAUUAAAUAUAUUCAUAUGUAGAUUAUAAUAGCUCACAAUCUAAUUAGUAACUGAAUUUUCUUUUCCUUUUUAUUUUAUUUGAGUUUAACUUCUUAUACAUAAUUAUAUAUUAUUAUUUUUUAAAUAAUUAGAGGUCCCGACAAAGUGAAUGUCCCAUUGAACUGUUUCAAAUAAUUGUUCAAAGCUCCAAAAUACAUUGCUAUUUCUAACUGCAAAUAUUACUAUAGAAAACAUCCACUUCAGCUCACUUAUAUUUUCCCUUCUAAAUAUAUAGAUACAUAUAUUAGGAGUUUUUCUACAUCGUAUGCAGAAAUAAUUAUUUUAAAUAUAAUAUUAUUUUAUUUUGAAAUAUAUUUGUGUUUUACAUUUUAACCUAAUUAUUUUUAUAUUUUAUUUUCACCGGUUUGAGAAAAUAAUUUAUAAACUUAAUAUAUGUAUUUUUUAUAUUUGAAAUUAAGGUAUACGAUAUAUUUAGAUAAAUAUUUAUUAAAUAAAAUAUAAAUAAUAUUUUAUUAUCUUAUAUAAUGUACUUGUAAUUUAAUUGAAGCUUAAUUAAAAUUAAAUUUCACUCGUAAAAUAUUAUAUUAUAAUAACUUUUAGAUUUUUGUAUGUUUUACUUAAAAUACAUUAAACUAGUAAAAAUUAAAUUAAUUUUUAAUUAAAUUAUUGAAAAAAAUAAUUUAAAUAAAAAUUUAAUCAUUAGCUCUUAACAAAAAUAUAUUUGAUUUGCAUUGUUUUAGUUUUGUAUUUGUUAACGUACAUCUACAAUUAACUUUAAUAAUAUACAUAUAUUUUUAUAGCAUAUGAUUUAUAUGUUUGUGAUGUACAAAUUAAUGUAUAACUUUUCUAUAUUUUUAUUUAGUUUAAUUUAUUAUUAAAGUGGUAUAUACAUAUUUAUUUACUUUAAUGAUGAUGUAUGAAUAAUUAGUAAUUAAUAUAUUUUAAAAUCAUAAAAUAUUUUUUUUCUCAAUUUAGUGGUGAUACAAGAAAUAUUUUCAUUACAACAUUUUAAAAAUCCUGUAAAAAUGAAUAUUUAUAAAAUAAAUUUGUACAUGUCACAAUUAAGUAAUUUCAUGUCAUAUUUUUCAAAAGUCAUGUCAUACUUUUAAAAGUCAUGUCAUUUUUUGAGUUGAGAAUGAAUAUAGUGAUGAAAUAUAAUCAAAUCAAUUCACAAAUAGUUUGUGGAUUGUUUGUUUUAGCUAAAUAAAUUAAACUGGUAAAACUAAAUUCGCUAAUUACCUUAAUGAAUUGAUAAAUUUAAAUAAAAUUUUAAUAAUUUAGCUAUCAUUUUUAUAUGAUUAGCACCGCUUUAGUUUAGUGUUUGUUAAGGCACACUUUCAAUUAAUUUAAUUAUAUACAUAUAUAUAUAUAUAUAUAUAUAUACAUUUAUAGAACAUAUUAUAUAUAUAUAUAUAAGUUGAUGUAGAAUUUUUUAUACCUGUAAUUAUAUUUUGGUUACUUUUUUAUUAAUGUGAAAUAUGAGUUAUUAGGUAUUAUCAUAUUUUAAAAAUCUUGCGAGAAAAUAUAUUUGUAUAAAGAAAAACUACUUUAAUGGAGAUAUAUGAGUCAUUACUAUCAUAUUAUUAUUUGAGAACACCCUUAAAUGAAAACGUUAUAAUUUGAUUGGCUUCCUAUUUCACAAUGGUGACGUGGCUUUUUGAUUGGCUCAAUGUUAAACCGUUUUUAAUUUUGCGUGAUUACCUUCUCUAAACUGUUUUCAAUUACCGCUUUAAAUCAAUCUCGGUUUCUCUUUAAUAUAUUCUCUGGUUACGUUAUGCUAAUCAAACCUCUCUCAGUUAGUAUCCUCUAGUCUCGGUUUGGUACCUAUAUUGAAUUGUUUCGAAUCAUAUAUUUUAAACCUUAUUGUACAUACAAAAAUAGUUGGUUACAAAACACUACAUACUAUGUGAAUCUACUGUGAAACAUAUAUCUAUCUUAUUAAAAAAAAUUGUGUUGGACUAACCUUUAUUUUGUAAGUUUUUAAAUUAAAUACAUUUUUCUACUUAAUAUUUAAACCUACAUUAGAUCACUAAUAUUCAUUUCUUUAUACUACUACCCUUGUUUCCAAACAAUAUAUUCAUUUCUUUAAACUACUAUGCAUGUUUCCAAACAACACUAUAAUUAAUUUUUUGUCCAAACAAUAUAAAAUAUUAUAUCUCAUCUUUUUAAUAAUUUCUAACAAUUUUUUUUCACAUUAUUUAGAUAUAUUAAAUAAUUUAAAAUUAAAAAAUUUAUAAAAACCGAAAAUAAAUAGGACAUAUUUUUACAGGUUUAAAUACUACUAAAACAUUUCAACUCAAGUAACGGAUUAUAUUAUUUAUAUUUCCUAAAAAAUGGUUAUAUCAUUUAUUUAAGUAACAUAAUAAUUCAAUAAUACCCAUUACAUAAAGUAUAUAUAAAUGUUAUACAUUGUACAAUAAAUAUAAUAACAAAAAUAAUAUUCAAAAUAUUUAAAAUAUAUGUUAUCUAAAGCAAAAUACUUAACACUAAUUGUUAAUAACAAAUUUAAACUGAUUAUAAUAUAAACCAAAUUAUUAACAAAAUAAAGUACAGAAAACAAUUAUAAUAAAAUUAACCAAACAAUAUAAAAAGGAGUAAUAUUAUCAAGACAUAUUUAUAGUUCUUAAUUAUUUUAUAUCAAUCAUUUUCUCUAUCAAUAUUUUGUAGAAACGUCAUAAUUUCACAAAAUUACAAAGUAAUGAACUUAAAAUUUUGGAUUAAAAGGUGAGAAAUUAUGAAAUUAUAAAAAUUUAAAUCAAAUUGGAUUAAAUAUUGGUCAUCCAUCUGUUCAAUUGGUUAGUCUCGAGUUUGUUGAUUUAUUUUAAAAUGUGGAUAUUUUUAAAAACCUAAAUCAAAUUAUCGGAUCACCAGAUUAACCGGUUUGACUGCGGGUUUGGUACGAAUUUAAAAUCACUGAUUUAAAUAUAUAACUUAAAAAUUAACAAAGUAUUUGUUAAGUUAUUAGUAAACAAAAUCAUCAUACAAUAUUCUGCGCUUGCAAAGCGCGGAUCAAGAUCUAGUGUUUAUAUUAAAUUUGAACAUAUAAACAGGUUUAUGAUUUUGGACAGUAUCCAUUUUAUGCUGUUUAGGGUGUAGGGUUUAGAGUUUGGGGUUUCGUGUUCCAUGCAAGCCGUAUAUUAUGUCGUCUAUAUAUUUUUUGGUUGACUGAUAACACGUAUAAUUUUAAAUUCUGUUUUGAUAUUGUUUCCAAAAAUCAGUCGAUUAAAUCUUUUAAAGAAGAAAAUUCAGCACAUACGGAAUGAUAUACACGAAUAUUCCUAUAAUGGAUUUGAAAUUCGUUAAAUUUAAUUUAAAAUUAUUAACUGAUUCUUUUCGAGUAAGUUUCACCUUCUUAAUCUUUCCAAUAUAAUGAAUUGGGGUUCUUUCCUAAUAUAGUACAUUUGUUUGUUACAAUCAAUCAAGAUCCUUUUUUUUUUUUUUUUUUUUUUAAUCAAGAUCCUUUUUCUAAUUGCUCUCUGUAUUUUAUUUCUAUUCAUUUGUAUACUAAUCAUUCAUAUCUAAUGCAUAUGAAUGCAUAUGAAUAAUUUUGAUCGUCUACGCUGAAUACCAAACAAGUGGAAAGGUAAUGGAUAAUAAAGUGAGUUAUUUGGUAUGUAUAUGUUUAAUAUUUAUAUGUUUGUUCUAUACUGAAUGAGAAACAUAUCAAAUAAUGCAGUGAGUACUCUUGCUGUUUACUAAAUUGACCUUUAACAUUGAUCUAAUUCCCACAAUUAUUAUGUAUUCUAUCAUUCUUGCACUAAUCAUUCCUUGCUAAAACAUAUUAAUCUUGAGUACGAUGGAUACGAAAUGAUUGAGGAGGCAAUGGAUAAUGAAGUUAAUACUCUGACUUUCUAAUUUAUUUCUGUUACUAUUUGGUCUAAUUCCCUUGGUUAUUGUUCAUUCUAUAAUUCAUGCACUAAGCAUUCCAUGCUAACACAGAUUAAUCUUGAGUACAAUGGAUACGAAACGAAUGAGAAGGAAUGGAUUAUGAAGUUAGUACUCCGCCCUUCUAAUUUAUUUUUCGUUAAUUAUUUGUUCUAAAUCCCUCAAUUAUUAUGUAUUCUAUCAUUCCUGGAUUACUCAUUCAUUGCUAACGCAGAUUAAGCUUGAUUACGAUGAAUACAAAACGAGUGAGAAGGCCAUAGAUAAUGAAGUUAGUUCUCUGACCUUCUAAUUUAUUUCCGUUAAUAUUAUAUCUAUCACAUCAUUCUAUCAAUUGUCAUAUUAUACAUAUUUAAAUUAACAUAUUUUAUUAUCCACAGAUUUGUAUAAUAAUAUUUGUAUAUUAAUGAUUUUUUGAUCUAAUGCAGAAGAAUGUAAAAUAUUAUGAAGAGCAAGCAAAUAUUGAGCUAACUGAUCCUUAAACCUUUUUUUUGCCAAAAAGAGUAAAAAGGAAAUGAUUCAGCAUGUGAGCAAGAAAGAUCCAUAUGUUUUCAAAAUUAAUGGAGAAACAUACAAUGUCCUUUCUGAAAACUUAUCCAAAUAUUGCCUACGUAUAAAAUUCUUGCAUCUCUCCAAAUUGUCUACUAGGAUUUCAUAUGUUACAAUUUAUGAUUUUCAUGUAUUUUCCAUUGGUAUUCUUCCAGUUCUUAUUUUUAUUUAUCAUAAAAAGUUACUUGUCGACGAUGGUGUGUAUUUGGACUACCUUUACUAAUAAAUCGUUCGUACAAGAUCAUCAUUUUGUAAUCUCCAUUGAUCGUUUAUAUUAUUCGUAUAAAAAUCUUCAUUGGUCUUUCAUACAACACAACCAGUAUAUUUCAAUUAAGGGUUAGUUCAAUGUAAGGUACAAUAGAAAUUUUUUAUUUUGAUUGAGUUAGCCACUUAGUUUGAUACUAUUUUCAUAUUUACAACCUAUGACACAAUAUUAUCACACACAUACAAAAAUACUAUUAAAAUACUAUUAAAAUUGCUAACUAUACUAUAAAACUUACCUUCUGAUCUAACAGACAGUAUAAUCAUAUAGUUUAAUUUUAGUGUUUUAUGUAUUUUUCGUUAAUGCUUUUUAAAAAAAAAUGAUGCUCACUGUAAAAGGAUAUAUUGACUUUCUAUAUGAAAUUUAAAAUUUUCCGAACCUAUUAAAUUAGUUUACUAAAUAAAUUGAUUUUGUUUUUGUAACCGCCAAUCAUAGUAUGAUUUGAGAAUACAACCGUUAUUCGCUCACACAUAAGUAACUAAUUUGUAACAAUAUAUAUUGAAAUCCCAAAUAUACCGGAUAUACGCAGAUUUGUCAUAUACACUUUCUUAAAGUAUUUUACACCUCUUUUAAAUAUAUCUUCUAAUAAAAGCUUUUACCUGAGAUAAUUGCCCUAUAAAUUAAAUCACAUUAUUUUUUCUUCAUAAUCAUAUCAGUCCUUAAACGAUCAUAAGUAUAAUAUCUUGCUCUAUAUCAUUGUUUCUUUUCAAACGUUUCCAUUGAAUUUUUUACUCAUUUGUGUUUCUUAAUUUCUUCAAUCUAUUGAUAAUAUUUUUUUUUGAAAUAUUUCUCUUGCAGAUGGAUCAGAACAACUUCGAAGGCCAAACAUGUGACAAGACAACGGAUUUAGAUGGAAAAAUACCCGAAAAUUUUAUAGGAAAUUUUUUUUGGAUUUGGCAACGAGAGCUGCAACUUUAUUUAUCCCAUUUGAGGAUAAAAGUUGGAUAAGUACCUUUCUGAGGAUAGACAAGUUAAUCUUGUUAUCUUUUGGUAACACUAGUAUCCUUGUGGAUCCAUGGUGAUUAUAUGUGUAAAUGAGUGAUAUUAGGCCGACUAAUCGACCCCUUUUAUGCAUUAUAUUCACAGGAAAAAAACUGCUAAGGCAUUGUGGUUAUCUUUGGAGAAGAACCAUAAAGCAGAUGUUAUGAGGCGUCAACAUUUGCGAAUGCAAAUUUUUUGCACUUCCAAAUCCUGGACUCUAAACCUAUUGUUCAAAAAAUUGAGCAGUUUCACUCAAUAUGCUGCGAUUUGAGUUCUGAUGGUAUUUCGCUUUGCAAUACUUUUAUUGUAAAUUGUUUGAUCGAUAAACUUCCUGCGAGUUUGGUUAAUUUCAUGAUUUAUUUACAGCAUAUUUGAGGUAGGUUAACAUCUUUGGAAGAUAUACUCAUUCAGAUAAAGUUUGAAGAUCUAAACAAGAACCACAAGGAAAAUCAAUCAUGUUCCAUUCGUGAUGAGAAGUAAAAAGCCAACACGAACACACAGUUCAAUAAAAAUCGGUGCUAGUGAUAAGAAAUCUAAAGGAAUUUGUUACAAAUGUAGAAAACAUUACUAUGUUUAAUACUAUUUAAAUUUAUAUUACGCGGUUCCAGUUUGUUUCUAUUUCUUUAUAUUGCCAAUUAAGAUUUUAUUAUUUAAUAAUAAUUCUCUCAUUUAUUGUUUAUUUUAAAUUAGUGUUUGAUCGAUAAAAUAGAAAGGAAUAAAUAACAAAGAAAUGUUGACCCAAUCAUACAAAAUAUGUAUUUAGACCGACACGAAAUGAUCAUUCACCCUUAAUUUAAAUGGUUUUAAAUAACAUCAAAGAGUACACGAAAUAAUUGUUCGCCCUUAAUUUAAAUGUUUUUAUUUGAUCUUCAUCAUACUAUAUAUAGGGCCGGUGUAGUCAUAUUGACUGUAAACUUUCAUAAACUUCUUUGUUUUAUAUUCUACUCGAGACAUCUUUGUUUUAGGGCAUUCUUCUGUUCCUGAAGUACUAUGUUAUAUUUUUUUUCAUCACUCCAUUUUGGAGUAAAAUAUGAAGUUGGGGUUGGAGAUGUUCUUUGAAAGCUAAUAAGUCUGCUGUUAAGUUGUUAUACUAUAACCUCUGAAAUUUUACAAAUGUUUUCAAUAAUUUUUAAAUUAUACUUGCCAUUUUUAAACCCAUUUAUAUGAAUAAUUGGUGGUUUUAUUCAUGUACCCCUGCAGAUUGGAUUUUUACAUUUUCAUAUUUUAACUUACCUCGUGAUUAAUUAUGUAUUUGUAAAAUUCGAAUCAUGUGGGGUUACCAUAGUAUAGUUAUAAAGUGUUUCAAUAUUUUUAUAACUAGUAGUGAUGAAUAUAUUUUCAAUUUAAACAAUUAUUGUUUCUAUGUUUUUACUGAAAUAGUACGAAAACUGAUAGAAAUAUAUGUAGAUUAUUUUGGUGCAAUUGGUAUGCAUACAUUCAUUUUCUACUCGAUUAUUCUUAAAUUUUUUCCUCUCUUUAAAUUAAUAUAACAAUAUACGUUCAUAAACAAUUGGCUUCAAUAUAUAAACAACUAGAAUUAUUGUCAAGGUUUUGAAAAGGUGAUAUGUGAUUGCCAACUUAAGAAAGGAAUGAAGAUGCUUCUAUCCAAUGAAAAGUUUAGUUUCUUCAAAUAUAUGUUAAUUAAUCAUCUAUAAAUACUAAUAAUUUUCUUUUUAAUUUUUCUAGGGUUACAAAAUUAUUUUCUUACAAAUAAUUAAAUUAAUUUGGCUUGAUGUUAAAUGGAGUAUUUUUGGGGAACUUGGCGCAAGAAUUUUAUAACGCAUGGACCUCAUCUUCUAUAAGAAAAUUAUUUGCAUCUUAACCUAUUGGAAAUUUAAAUUCCUUCAGAAUCAAGCUAUUUAUUAAAGGGUUUCUUUCAAAAAUGACUCAAAAUUUCAAGUCAAACACAAAAAUAACCUAUGAUUUUUUUUGAAACUUUGUUUUGUCCUAUUCACCCUAGAAAUUCUUGUUAUUCACGAAAAUACCAUUACUUUUUUUUUCCGAAAAUAAUGCUUUCACCUUACCAUCACCAUCUUCACCAUAUAGUUACAACUUUGCCAUUGACAUCAAUACUUCAACCACCAUAAACUACCAAAUUGAGAGUGUCAAUGCCCUAAAGUUUCGAUUUUUUCUCAUCCUUUCUCAUUUCCUAUCCACACAAACCACAUAUCAUACACUUUUUCUCAAAAUUCAUCAAAAAAACUGAAGAUUUUGAUUAAAAAUUAUGUAAGGUUCAUAAGUUCACGAUUCUUGGUGAUUAACGAGUAGGUAGCUGUUCUGGUGAAGUUCUGGGUAAUUGGAGAAACCACGCAAGUCAUCUCACGUGUUCAAGGUAUACAAGCGCGAACCACAUUUUAUUUUUCAGAUAUGUUCGACGAAGAAGAAGUCUUCUUCAUCGAGAAGACUUAUAAAGAAAUCUUCUGGUCAAUGCAUAGGUUAGUUUUGCAAUUGACCUUUUGUGUAUGUUUUAAUAGAAGACUUCCCUAGAAAUCUUCUAACUUUCCUUUGUAAACAAAAAAAUUCGAAAUUCCAAGAGAAGUUACUUUUAAAUUUCGGAUAAACAUGUUACUUUUAAAUUUGACCAAAGUUGGUUAGAAAUUUGACUUUUGUAGAAGACUUCCUUAGAAGUCUUCCUGGAGAAAACUUCUACAGAAGUCUUCUGAAAGUCUUCCCUAAGUCUUCUCAAUGCUGGAAAAUGUCUGCGUGGAUUACUUUUGCAAUUGAAAAAUAAUAGUAAAACAUUAAAUAUCAAUGAGAAGACUUCUAAAGAAGUCUUUUCGAGUUUAAUUAUGGGUUUUGGUCAAACCUUUGCCCGCGAGAGAAGACUUCUAGAGAAGUCAUCUGACGGAAGACUUCUGAAGAGGUCUUCUCUCGAAAAGUCAAAUAUAGUCAAUUGCAAAAGUAACCCAGCAAACUUCUUGCGACAUUGAGAAGACUUCCGGAAGACUUAGAGAAGACUUCUUCUGAAGUAUUCUCCAUGUAGACUUCCUUAGAAGUCUUCUACAAAACCUCAAAAUUAUGACCAACUUCGGUCAAAUUCAAAAGUAACCUGUUUAUCCAAAAAGACUUCUAAGAUAUAUUCUCUGGGAAGUUCGAAAAAUUUCAAUUUCAAACGUAAGCCAAUACAAAGGAAGACUUCCGAAGAUAUCUUCUGUUGAGUAGACUUCUUAAGAAGUCUUCCUUUGUAAAUUUGCAAUUGCAAAAAUGACCCAAACAGAAGACUUCUUUUGAAGUCUACACAGAGUAGACUUCUUUUAAAGUCUUCCGUGGAUGACCUCCAAAGAAGUCUUCUACGUAAAUAUUUAUUAAACUUCAAAUUUAUCCAAAAUUAAAAUGAAUUUUAAUAUUUUCUUGCUAAUUCAUGUUUAUUAGUCAAUAUUGGGACUAUUGAGUCGAAUUCAUAGCUUAGUUGGUGAUAAUUAUGAAGUUACAAACAUUGAUGUUUAAUAAUGUUUCUAGCUAAACGAAGAAGUCUUCGUCAUAAGUGUUAACUUUCAAAAGUGUUAAGUAACUUAAAGAAUAUCAAGUCAUGUGGUUUAAUGUGUCAUUUUAGAUCACAAGAUAUAAUUUUUAAAUUACCUGAAUUUUUUUUUAAAAAAGAUCAACUUUCACUUAAAAUUCAAGUUUGAUCUUUUGUGAAUUUGACUAAGUUUUUUUUAAGUCUUCUCUAUUAGUUUUAGUAAAUUUGACUAAGAUUUUGUGUUGUUGUGUUUUGUUAUGAUUGGGUAGAAUGGUUCAAAAAAAAAUUGUUGUAUGUUGUAUCAAUAACUUCAAUAAUGUCAAGUAUUUUUGGCAAAACAUGAACAUAUUUAGCAAAUUCUUUUGAUUAACAUUUCUUUAAGUUUACAAAAGAAUUCACAACUAAAUAAUGCACAUACAAAUCAUAAAACUGACCUUAAACAAAACUAUUAUACGUGGAACUAGAUAUCAUUUCUCAAGAAGUCUUCCGAGAGUUUCUGAGUCUGCCAAGAGUCUUCUGAGAGACUUCCAAGAGUCUUCUGAUAAAUCUUACAAAGUCUAACUCAUAUCUGAAAAAUCUGCAUAUUCAAACUUUGGAAGACUUCGUGGGACGUCUUCUAGCAUAAAAUGCAUUAGAAGACUUCCCAAGAAUUCUUUCGAGAGUCUUCCAAGAGUCCUCUGAGUAGUCUUUCAAAGUCUGAUUUAGAUCUGAAAAUUUUAUAUAUUCAAAAGCAUUCAAAUAGCUUCAAAACAGAGAAAACUUCAAAAUCACUUUUUAUGCUUAAUAAUAAACAAAAAAUUGUCACAUUAGGUUGAAUUUAGAACUUUUUAGAAUCCAAAAUCUGUACAACUUUGGGCAGAAGACUUCGUGGGAAGUCUUCUACCAUAAAAUGCAUUAGAAGACUUGUCUAGAAGUCUUCCGAGAGUCUUCUGAGAAGUCUUUCAAAGUCAGUCUCAGAUCUGGAAAACCUGUAAAUUCAAAAACAUUCAAAUGGCUUCAAAACAAAUAAAAACUUCAAAAAUAUAAUUUUAUGCUUAAAUAAUAAGCAAAACAGUCACAAUAGGUUGAAUUUGCGAAGGUUGAAGAGUUCAUGCGAUCGCUACUUAACAGUGACCCUUAUGUUUGGAGACACUAGGCUAUGAAGCCUUUGUAAAACUUGGUGUUCUCUAUGUUUUUUUUUGUUGUGUUUUAUUUGAAUAUAUUUUUUAUGCUUACAAAAACUAUAGUGAAAUUUAACUCAUUAUCUUUGUUAAGCCGGAUUUCAAAUUUUAUGUGAUUGCAUUCAUUUACUUUUUGGUUCAAGUUAUGUAAUCAUAUAAUAUGUUAUGAAUAAUAGUCAAUUGCUCAAACUUGUACUAUAGUGUUGAAUUUAGUGAGAUAGAAAGAUACAUAGAGAUUGAGAGAGAAUUACGUUAUACUUAUACUCUAAUAAUAAUACCUAUACAUGCAAUAUAUAAAUCAUAUUAAUACCCGAACAUGCGUUUGGGCGGUCCGCCUAGUGUUUUACAAUUUUUGCCAAAAAUAAAUGUUUAUAAAGAAAAAUUGUUUAUAUAACAAUCAGUUGAUGUCAUGUCAUAUUUUUAUAAUUCUUGUCAUAAUGGUGUAUAUAACUUACUUCAGAAGAUAUUAUAUAUAUAUAUAUAUAUAUAUAUAAUUUAACAUACAUUGCUAUAAAAUUUAUAUCUAUUGUAAAUAAAUAAAUAAUAGAAAAUCUAUUAAAACGGUCUUAGUAGAAAUAUGUGUAUUCUAUAUUGAAGAUUAUAUAUCCGUAAGAAAUUCUUUUUUCCUCUCCAAAUUCAACCAUUCGACUUACUUAGGGCAGCCGCAGUGGUAGUCUUCCAAAGAGGCUCUUAUAACCAAAAUAAUAAAAACAUUAGUAAAGGUGGGGAGAAAGUGGGAAAUUUAAGAACGCUUUUCAGAGCGAUUUUUAAAAGAGUAAUUUAUAUUGCAUGACAGUUUUGAGUUUCUUUUUAACAGGAUAAUGAGUUAACACUACCAAGACAGUUUUUGUGUGAAAAGUCUUAACUUGCUCCUAAAAAAGGUAACCUAUGAUAAAAAAAAAUAGUUAGGGCGUUUUUUGUUUAGUUAGAUUUCUGAAAUUUAAAACUGGGUGGUGGACCCCCGAUGACAAACUAAAGAAGAUUAAACUCAUUUUAAAAUAUCGGACGUGUAAAAAAAAUUAGUUUUACUUUUGGGAACUUUAACUGAAGAGGAAAAAAGAAACCAAAAAGGCGAGGAUGGAGACGAGAGCGACGAGAGCGAAAUCAAAAAGUUUACGGUGUUGUUUUACUUAGCAGGAUGUCGAGCAGAUGGAGCUGGCAUGGAAAGGAGAAACCAGACGAAACGGCAGAGGUUGAGGAUGUAAAAAAGGGAUUCCGGAGCGGUUAUUCGCAACUGACCGGUACCCAAGUGAAAGGGUGAACAUGUAUUCUACCGUCGAUCAUCUCUUGGCGGCGAGAGAUGCGCUGAACAACAUACCGGAGAUGGUGAAGCUGAUUGGUUCAUGAUUUGGAAAUUUCUUCCAAAUUCCUGUUUCGGAUUGAAUGUGGCGGACGAGCAAAAGGCAGAACACGAUUCUGGGGUAAGCUUACUUUUCUUGUGCGGCUGUAUAGAUAUACAAAAAUUGUACCGUAAAUGUGUACGUAACAAAAAAGUUGUGUACAUGCAUACUCCGAAACUGGUGUAUGCAUGUGUGCAAGUACUUGUAUGUUAUACUGUUGUUUUGGUUUUCUUGAAGUUGCUUGUCAAACCAAAGAUGGAGAUUUGUGGAAGCCACGAAGAAAGGUGGAGUGUUUGGAUUAAUAUAAUGAUAUGCAUAAAUGUGUUAAGUGUAAAAUAAAAUUAUUCACAAAAAAUGAAAAUUACUUAUAGAUAUGAUACUAAUUAAUAUUAUGUUUAUAUUCAAAUACAAAUUAUAAUAACUUUUAAAAUUUCAAAAAAAAAAAAACUUAUUUUGAACACCUUUUUUGAUGGGGCAAUACAAAUUUCAAAUAAUUUCAAAUAAAAACUAAACAUGUUUUUUUUUUUGUAUUACCCCCUCCCCAGAAAAAAACUAAACAUGUUUUGCAAGUGAAUAGGAAAGAGAUCUCCUUAGGGACGAGAAUCUAGCCAGCCUUGAGCAUUUGCAAGUGUAUGCGCUCUUAGACAAGCUUAAUACACUACAUGGAAGCAUACGUUUGAUUUCCGACCAAUGGAUCUAUCCAAAUUGUCCAUCAACCACGUUUACGACCCAUUUCUCCACCUCAACCAACAUCAACGGAACAUUUUGAACCGAGCUCAAUGGUUGCAAACUUACAUAUUAUGCCUUUGGAGUUGGUUAUAAACUUUAGUCAUUUGAAUGUUGGGCUUCUGAUAAAUGGGUUUAACCCAUGUUUCUAAAUAUUUGUGCACACUAUAUUUCGGGCCGUAGAGAUGUCUCUCCCGUUGGCAUUCAGCUAGGGUUUCUAAACUAUACCCUAGGGAAGCCACCUAUAUAUAAUACACACAUACACACGAUUGCAUAUUCAUCCGCAGAGUUUAGGUUAAGGGCUUUGGUUGCUGGGGAAUUAUAAUAGCACGUUAUAUCUGUUCUUCUUUGUCUAUCGUUUGGAAAAGAUUGAUGACGCUAUCUACACUUUUCCAAAUGUAGACAAAGCAAAACCGUGAUGACGUCGUAGAGAUCUUGUUGAUGGUACGAGCUUGUGUUCGUCCAUCAAUUAUCUAUUUCUUGUUUUCCCAAUGUUAACAUCUGACUGCUGAUCUUGUUUUUGACUUUAGUUGAACCGUAUAUUCUCUUGUCGUCUCUCUUCUUUUUCUUUUUGCAGAUCAGGAUUUUCUGACCACGAUUUCUACUGAGAGAAGCAAAAGUACAACUAUGAAGUACUGUUCAGUCCGGCUCGAACAUGACCGACCAACCGAUCUUAUCUAUAUUCUAUUAUUACAGCAAAUAAUUCUCAUAAUACUUGUAUCUUUUGAAGACCAACUAAUUGUUCUCUUUUUUUGAACUAUAGUGAAGAAUUAUUCGAGAGUAAUCAACCGAAUAAGUUAAAAGAAAAGUUCGAACAAAAGCUCUGUUG